rnacentral:rRNA from 1 species
GUUGUUCGGAAUUACUGGGCGUAAAGCGCACGUAGGCGGCUACUCAAGUCAGAGGUGAAAGCCCGGGGCUCAACCCCGGAACUGCCUUUGAAACUAGGUAGCUAGAAUCUUGGAGAGGUCAGUGGAAUUCCGAGUGUAGAGGUGAAAUUCGUAGAUAUUCGGAAGAACACCAGUGGCGAAGGCGACUGACUGGACAAGUAUUGACGCUGAGGUGCGAAAGCGUGGGGAGCAAACAGG